GUUCUAUGCGACGGCUGUAUUUGGCAUUUGCAUUCUUCAGUUGUUAGGAAGCGCCCCAUUCCUAUUUAGAAAUAUCUCUAGAGAACCAGAGAAUAUCCAACUUUCUUAUUGAAUCGUUGCAGUGAUGGGUUUCGUCUUCGAAUUUUCCACCUUCGUUCUAUAAGUCAGUCGUGGUUGCCGGCCCGUGGCACGAAAUUUCUUUCAAAAUCUUCUAUUUCGCUGCUGUAAUGAAUGAUCAGUUGAUCGUCGUUGACCAAGUUCUUUGACUCAUAUCGGUUCUCUCGUUUCACGAAGAACAGAAAUCACAUUCUCUGUAGAUCAGCGAAUGGAACUGGGUUCUGCACAUCGAUCAAUUGGUAUCGAUAAAUUAUUUCAUUCGAUAACACCAAUAAACGAAUGACCUACAGUGCAGAGACAAUCGGCAACACACGUCUACAUAACACAGCCUCCCAUCCGACCCGUCUUGUAACACGGACCAAGGAAUUCAGUAGGCACGCGAGUCGUUGACGUUUUUCAUUGAACAGUCGAAGGCGAAAUGAAAGUGUUAAUGAAAAUGAACUGUACUUCUUUAUGGAGUGCUGUUCAAUUUUUCAACAUGAUCGUCCUUUUUUGUGCUUAAUUGUGCAAAAUAAUAGAUGUAUGGGGACGCGCAGUGUGGUGCCGUUGAAUAGUCGCACUGUUCUCUCUUUCUCUUCGGGGUUGGAGGAACAAUUGUCGAUCAGUCGGUUUCGGAGCGUGCACACUGGUACCCGAAAGAUGGUGAACUAUGCUUGAGCAGAAUGAAGCCAGAGGAAACUCUGGUGGAAGUUCGUAGCGGUGUUGACGUGCAAAUCACUCGUCUGACUUGAGUGUAGGGGCGAAAGACUAAUCGAACCAUCUAGUUGCUGGUUCCCUCCGAAGUUUCCCUCAGGAUAGCUGGCAUUUGUUUGUAACAAUUUUAUCCGGUAGAGCGAAUGAUUAGAGGUGUUGGGAACGCAAUGUUCUCAGCCUAUUCUCAAACUUCGAAUGGGUAAGCAAGGCGUUUUGCUUUGAUUUUACGAUGAAAUCGCCCAAUUAGAAUGUAUAAAUGCCUAGUGGGCCAAUUUUGGUAAGCAGAACUGGCGAUGUGGAAUGAACCAAAAGUCAGGUUAAGGUGCCAGACAUUGGCGCUCAUGAAAUACCAGAAAAGGUGUUGGUCGAUAUAGACAGCAGGACGGUGGCCAUGGAAGUUGGAAUCCGCCAAGGAGUGUGUAACAACUCACCUGCCGAAUCGACUAGCCCUGAAAAUGGAUAGCGUUUGAGCUCCAGGCCCAUACCUGACCGUCUCAAUUACGCACUUUUUUUUCGGAAAAGGUGUAAUGAACGUUGAGACGGGUAGGAAGGUCGCGACAGUGUUGCUUUGAAGAGUUUUGAGCGUGAGCUCGCUCGGAGCCGCUGUUGGUGCAGAUCUUGGUGGUAGUAGCAAAUAUUCAACAAAUAUUCAAGUGAGAACCUUGAAGGCUGAAGUGGAGCAAGGUUCCAUGUGAACAGCAGUUGGACAUGGGUCAGUCGAUCCUAAGAAAACGGCGAAAGCUUGUUCGAAUUUGCGACAUGAAUUGUAAGACUGAAUAAUUAUUUGUGUGUGUGUUGUGGUGGAGGCGAUUGUGUCGUCACCAGUUGUUGUUGUGUGCAGUUGUCGUAUGUUUUCGAAAGGGAAUCCGGUUGAUAUUCCGGAACCGAGUAACGGAGACAAAGAGUAGCGCUUUAAUCUCUCUGUGGGGUUGGCGUUCAACUCAAUCGCGCGGUAACGCAAGCGAACUCGGAAAAUGACCGUCGUGAGUUUCGAAAAGAGUUUUCUUUUCUUUUUAAGGGACGCAUUCCCUGGAACCGGGUUGUCCGGAGAUAGGGAUUCUGGUAUCCAUAAAACGCAAUUUUUCGCUUCUUUGCCGCUGAAGAUGAUCUCUGGGACGCUUGAUCAUCCAUAAAUUCCGCCAACAAACCAAACGAACUCUCAGAACAUGCUGGUGACGCCUGGUAAAUCUCGUACUUGGUCGUACUGAUAUCCGCAGCAGGUCUCCAAGGUGAAUAGCCUCUGGCCGAUAGAAUAAUGUAGGUAAGGGAAGUCGGCAAAACGGAUCCGUAACUUCGGAACAAGGAUUGGCUCUAAGGGCUGGGCCGAUCGGGCUGAGGUUUCAAGCGUGCAGUGUAUGUUGGCUUAGCUGUGUUGAGGACUUGUUCACUUGCCACCGGUUGUUCGGCUGGUCGAGUGUAUUCGAGUCUGAAGCAGAGCUGGCCGACAGACCGGCACGUGCAGAACCUGAGCUGCGCGGCUGUCCGUUUUCGUGUACAGACCGUUUCGGUCGGCAUUCAACAGCCAACUUAGAACUGGCACGGACACAAGGAAUCUGACUGUAUAAUUAAAACAAAGCAUUGCGAUGGCCGAUGAUCGGUGAUGACGCAAUGUGAUUUCUGCCCAGUGCUCUGAAUGUCAAAGUGAAGAAAUUCAAUCAAGCGCGGGUAAACGGCGGGAGUAACUAUGACUCUCUUAAGGUAGCCAAAUGCCUCGUCAUCUAAUUAGUGACGCGUAUGAAUGGAUCAACAAGAUUCCUUCUGUCCCUAUCUACUAUCUAGCGAAACCACAGCCAAGGGAACGGGCUUGGCAAAAUCAGCGGGGAAAGAAGACCCUGUUGAGCUUGACUCUAGUCUGACUCUGUGAAGAGACAUGAAAGGUGUAGCAUAGGUGGGAGAUUGUCAAUUUGCCAUCGUUCACGCGA
rnacentral:rRNA from 1 species